GCGGGCCACCGGGUCCGGGUCACCACCGGGGCUGGGUCAGUCGGUACCUUCAUGAAGGUCUCUACCGCGCCUUUGGCCGUGUCCAGAUCAUAAUAGUGAUACUGAGAACAACAACAAAAUUAACAAGCAUAAAAUUGGAUAUGAAAUUAAACAAGGUUGCAAUUGCUGCAAGGCUUUUUUUGCCAGGCUUUCCUGUAUGACUCGGAACUGUUUGCAAUCACCUCCUCCCUCUCCAGGAGCUAUGGAGCAAAUGAAUGGAGCUAGAAAAUACGUCAUCCUGAGCAAGGCAACCCAGACCAAAAGACAAGUAUGCUCUGGGGCUCACACGUGUUAGCUGAGCACGUGCCACUGAGCCCUCAGCCUCAGAUACUGUUAACUAAGGCACAGCAGAGGUAAAGGUGAAGUGUUUUCCUAAGGCUCUAAGGUGUCCCAGGCUCCAGUGAAAGUUUUGAGGGAGGGAAAGUGGUCUCUCUACUUCAUGAAGUCAGAGCAGAUCACACCUACAACGAGGAGAACACAAUUUGGAUGAAGAGGAAACAAGAACAAAAGCUGUCACAGAGAGUUAAGGGGAGUGACUGCAAAGUGUGGAGCCAGUGACUUGGCCACACUUUAAUGAAGUGGCUGCGGGUCUUCUCUUCAUUGUUUACACAAGCCAUUAGAGCAUCUUCUCACAGAAACCAUUUGACUCUGCAGUGUUGCUGCUUUGAGCUGACAGAGGAUGGAAAGUGGUCCCUGCAAUGAGAACAGGGUCUGCUGCGGAGACACAGAAAGUUCUUAAAGCAUUUGGUCACCUUAGGAUGUGACAUUAUCUAUUAUUGCUUUGAAAAGCCUACAGUAGCUGUUCUGUGGGUGGCUUGGAGAGAACAAGGCUGGACCAGUGAGAAACUC
ensembl:lincRNA 4931440J10Rik RIKEN cDNA 4931440J10 gene